UGAAUUGACGGGGCCCGCACAAGCGUGGAGCAUGUGGUUUAAUUCGAAGCAACGCGAAGAACCUUACCAGGUCUUGACAUCCCUGACAACCGAGAGAUCGGGCGUUCCCCUUCGGGGGGACAGGGUGACAGGUGGUGCAUGGUUGUCGUCAGCUCGUGUCGUGAGAUGUUGGGUUAAGUCCCGCAACGAGCGCAACCCUCGACCUUAGUUGCCAGCAUUCAGUUGGGCACUCUAAGGUGACUGCCGGCUAAAAGUCGGAGGAAGGUGGGGAUGACGUCAAAUCAUCAUGCCCCUUAUGACCUGGGCUACACACGUGCUACAAUGGGCGGUACAAAGGGUCGCGAACCCGCGAGGGGGAGCCAAUCCCAAAAAGCCGCUCUCAGUUCGGAUUGCAGGCUGCAACUCGCCUGCAUGAAGCCGGAAUCGCUAGUAAUCGCGGAUCAGCACGCCGCGGUCGAAUACGUUCCCGGGCCUU
rnacentral:rRNA from 1 species